GACGAACGCUGGCGGCGUGCUUAACACAUGCAAGUCGAACGAUGAAGCCGGAGCUUGCUCUGGUGAAUUAGUGGCGAACGGGUGAGUAACACGUGAGUAACCUGCCCUUGACUCUGGGAUAACUGCGGGAAACUGUAGCUAAUACCGGAUACGACCCUCGGAGGCAUCUCCUGGGGGUGGAAAGAAUUUCGGUCAAGGAUGGACUCGCGGCCUAUCAGCUAGUUGGUGAGGUAAGGCUCACCAAGGCGACGACGGGUAGCCGGCCUGAGAGGGUGACCGGCCACACUGAGACAGGGACACGGCCCAGACUCCUACGGGAGGCAGCAGUGGGGAAUAUUGCACAAUGGGCGCAAGCCUGAUGCAGCAACGCCGCGUGAGGGAUGACGGCCUUCGGGUUGUAAACCUCUUUUAGCAGGGAAGAAGCGAAAGUGACGGUACCUGCAGAAAAAGCACCGGCUAACUACGUGCCAGCAGCCGCCGUAA
rnacentral:rRNA from 1 species